rnacentral:rRNA from 1 species
AUUGAACGCUGGCGGCAUGCCUUACACAUGCAAGUCGAACGGUAACAGGUCUUCGGAUGCUGACGAGUGGCGAACGGGUGAGUAAUACAUCGGAACGUGCCUAGUAGUGGGGGAUAACUACUCGAAAGAGUGGCUAAUACCGCAUGAGAUCUACGGAUGAAAGCGGGGGAUCGCAAGACCUUGUGCUACUAGAGCGGCCGAUGGCAGAUUAGGUAGUUGGUGGGAUAAAAGCUUACCAAGCCGACGAUCUGUAGCUGGUCUGAGAGGACGAUCUGCACACCAGGAUUGAGGCACGGCCCAGACUCCUACGGGAGGCAGCAGUGGGGAAUUUUGGACAAUGGGCGCAAGACUGAUCCAGCAAUGCCGCGUGCAGGAUGAAGGACUUCGGGUUGUAAACUGCCUUUGUACGGAACGAAAAGCCCUGGGUUAAUACCCUGGGGUCAUGACGGUACCGUAAGAAUAAGCACCGGCUAACUACGUGCCAGCAGCCGCCGUAAUAC